rnacentral:lncRNA from 1 species
CCGACGGUGGCCGAAGCGAGCACCCCGGUCGAUGUCAUCUCGGCGCAGUUCGCGAUGUGCGUGGCGGGGGAUGCCGCGGCGGCGCCCUCUGGCGGGGGUCAGCAGAACAUCACGUGCUCGACGCAAACGGACACGGCGACGUUCGACGGGGGCACGGACGGCGGCGGUCAAGCCGAGGUGUUCGCCUUUCCGGAGUCGAUGUCCAUCACCCAGUUCACGAGUGUUCAAAAGAGUUUCCGUCCGGACUCUCUCCUGUUGCCUUCUCAUAGUCUAGAGGAAGAAUAUUUUAAUGAUAUUCUCAACGGAAUCAAGCACGUCAUUCAAGGACAUUUAGAGGAUGUGCAAACGAGUUCAAAUCAAAAAUAGUCAAUUUAGAACAAGAAGUAAGAACAAGGGAUGAAAUUAUAGCAAGGCUUCAACAAAAAUUCAUCGGUUAGAGGCAGGGAUUAGGCAUUCAAGCGAGUCCGACUCGGAUAGUGAUAUGGACGAUUCGGAUGAAUACUCUGAUCAGCCAUUCAUGCGAGGUGAUUCGGUGGACACGGUGGUGGGUCCAUCGGAGGAGGGUGUCUGGGUGGACGAGAGCGGGCGGUGCGGGAGCAAGACGGGGCUGCGGGGCUACCAGUGCAACCGGCGCUCGUGGGAGGACCACUCGGAGGAGGAGAGCCUGGAGCUGCAGGACCUGCCGCGCUCCAUCACGCCGCAGCCCAUGUGGACGACCGUGGAGAUCGGCUCCGAGUCCUCCGACAGCCCCGGCUCCCUCGACUCGGAGCACUCCGUCUCCGGCUCCACCUCCGAGCAGGACCUCCGCUUCCGCAAGCACGACUGCAACUGGGAGAUUCAGAUGCUCGCCCGGGAGCUCGACCGACGGAAAACCGACCGCACCCAGGAGCGCAGGGACAGGGACCGCGAUCGCAAACAGAGGUUAGCUUUCUUUCCUACUUGUUUUCUCUUAUAUAGACGUUUUUAUGUUGCAGGCAAGGGAGAUCCGCGAUCUACCACCACGUUGAGCCAUA